AUCUGCCUUACAAGCAGGGGGUCACAGGUUCGAGCCCUGUCGCGCCCA
rnacentral:tRNA from 1 species